UACACCCGAGCUCCGAUAUAGCGCAUUGUAAGUAGAGGACUUAAAUCUCCAUAAAUUAUAUUUAAAUUAAAUUGGUAGAAGCAUAUAUUCUACAUUCUAAACAAAAUUGUUUUACAUUAAUAUAUACUGCUUUUAAUUUAUUUUGAGAAUUUGUACCAAAUUGUGAGAUUCAAUUUGAUUCAAUUCUCAAUUCACCAAAUAAGGAUUUAAUUCACAAUUCAAAACUCAAAUUGACAA
rnacentral:misc_RNA from 1 species